rnacentral:rRNA from 1 species
AUUGAACGCUGGCGGCAGGCCUAACACAUGCAAGUCGAGCGCGCGGCGGACGGGUGAGUAAUGAAUGUGGGCUGCCCGAUAGAGGGGGAUAUCUCCUGUAAACGCUAGCUAAUACCGCAUACUAUCGGAUAACCCAUAUGGGAUUAGCUCGUAGGUGUGGUAAUGGCUCACCAAGGCGACGAUCCCCAGCUGGUCUGAGAGGAUGACCAGCCACACUGGGACUGAGACACGGCCCAGACUCCUACGGAGGCAGCAGUGGGGAAUAUUGCACAAGGGGCGCAAGCCUGAUGCAGCCAUGCCGCGUGUAUGAAGAAGGCCCUAGGGUUGUAAAGUACUUUCAGUCGGGAGGCGUUACCGUCAGAAGAAGAACCGGCUAACUCCGUGCCAGCAGCCGCGGUAAUUC